rnacentral:rRNA from 1 species
CGGCGUGCUUAACACAUGCAAGUCGAACGGGAUCCCUGGCGGCCUGGCUGCCGGGGUGAGAGUGGCGAACGGGUGAGUAAUGCGUGACCAACCUGCCCUGUGCACCGGAAUAGCUCCUGGAAACGGGUGGUAAUACCGGAUGCUCCGCCCCACCGCAUGGUGGGGUGGGAAAUGCUUUUUGCGGCAUGGGAUGGGGUCGCGUCCUAUCAGCUUGUUGGCGGGGUGAUGGCCCACCAAGGCGUUGACGGGUAGCCGGCCUGAGAGGGUGACCGGCCACAUUGGGACUGAGAUACGGGCCAAACUCCUACCGGAGGCANCANUGGGGAAUAUUGCACAAUGGGCGCAAGCCUGAUGCAACGACCCCCCGUGCGGGAUGGAGGCCUUCGGGUUGUAAACCGCUUUUGUUCAAGGGCAAGGCACGGCUUUGGGCCGUGUUGAGUGGAUUGUUCGAAUAAGCACCGGCUAACUACGUGCCAACAGCCGCGGUAAUACCUAAGGUGCCAGCGUUAUCCCGAUUUAUUGGGCGUUAAAGGCUCGUAAGCGGUUCGUU